ensembl:lncRNA
UUAAAGCAGCACUCGCGAUGACACUGAUCUUCAUAAGACUCCAGCAGCGUGACGGAGUCCCUCUGGAUUUGGCCUCUCAAGUUGUUAAAGUGGGAAUCAGCAAUCUCUGCUUUCCACACCAACAGGGAGCGCGAGGACAGGAGCCUGGAACAGCCCUUCCGUUAUUGAGCCUGCAGGUUCAGGUCGCGGCGCUUGUGGGACUUCCCGUGUGUUCCUGCGGGAGAGCGUCUGAGCACACAAUGGCCAGCGCUGGAGCCCCGGUGCGUCAGGCCGCUAGCAGGCCAAACACACGGCCUCUGACACGGGGAUCGAUCGCUUGCGGAGGGCUUGAGGGGCAGAAGCGCAGGACUCUCUCAUUAGCUGACCGGACGAGAGCAGAGGUGCGAACUCAGCCGUCCCAGAGGAAAACACUGAGCAAACUUACUGCAGCUCCUGCAGGGCCACGAGCAGGACAACAUCUCUGUACAGCGCUGCUCACACUGCGGAUAUCACCAUCACAUGUGCACAUGUACAAACUGUUCAGGUGUGGCUCAUUCUACACAGAAGAUCUGCAGCAGGACGAUCAGCUCAGAGACUCUUCACACCACUUUUGAGCUGGUGACCACACAUAUACAUUUCUUUCUUUCUUUCUUUCUUUCUUUCUUUCUUUCUUUCUUUCUUUCUUUCUUUCUUUCUUUCUCAGCCAUUAAACUGUAUGUGCAAUUUUUUCCUCAAAUAAAUAAAUAAAUAAACAGACUGAAAAAAAUGGG